CCGUCUCUUCACUACAGGGUUUUUCAUGAAAGUGAGAAUUCAAGGUGAAUUCAAAGUGAAUUUCACAUUUAAGGUCAACAUAGACAAACUGGAAGGAUUGUGUAAGUUGGCUAUGGUUUAAAUACAGCUACUCUGCCCUUGAAUUUGAAAUUUACUUUGAAUUCUUACUUUUGUGAAUAAGCCUGAUAGUCUUGCAGUUGAAUAGUUGCCAUAAGCACACAAAAUAAAAUGAUAGUCAAGGAUGUUUAGCUACCUGAAACGGAACAAACUGUCCAGUCUAAGAAAUGUCAACGAAAAGUAAAAAAACUGCAAAAAAUUUAAUAAAAGUAGACGAAUAGAAUACUCACUAAAG